GCCAGCAGCCGCGGUAAUACCGGCGGCUCGAGUGGUGGCCACUUUAUUGGGCUUAAAGCGUUCGUAGCUGGGUCGUUAAGUCUCUUGGGAAAUCCGGCAGCUUAACUGUCGGGCGUCUAAGGGAUACUGGCGAUCUUGGAACCGGGAGAGGUGAGGGGGUACUUCGGGGGUAGGAGUGAAAUCCUGUAAUCCUCGAGGGACCACCUGUGGCGAAGGCGCCUCACCAGAACGGCUUCGACAGUGAGGGACGAAAGCUGGGGGAGCAAACCGGAUUAGAUACCCGGGUAGUCCCAGCCGUAAACGAUGUGCGUUAGGUGUAUCGACGACCACGAGUCGUCGAGGUGCCGAAGGGAAACCGUGAAACGUACCGCCUGGGAAGUACGGUCGCAAGGCUGAAACUUAAAGGAAUUGGCGGGGGAGCACCACAACAGGUGGAGCCUGCCGGUUUAAUUGGACUCAACGCCGGGAAGCUCACCGGAUAAGACAGCUGAAUGAUUGCCGGGCUGAAGACUCUGCAUGACUAGCUGAGGGGUGGUGCAUGG
rnacentral:rRNA from 1 species